GGGGAUGUAGCUCAAAGGUAGAGCGGCGGCCUCCAAAACCGUUCGUUGGGGGUUCGAGUCCCUCCGUCCCUG
rnacentral:tRNA from 1 species